GACGAACGCUGGCGGCGUGCUUAACACAUGCAAGUCGAACGGAAAGGCCCUGCUUGCAGGGUGCUCGAGUGGCGAACGGGUGAGUAACACGUGGGUGAUCUGCCCCUUACUUUGGGAUAAGCCUGGGAAACUGGGUCUAAUACUGGAUAGGACCAUGCUGUAGGUGGUGUGGUGGAAAGAUUAGUUUCGGUAAGGGAUGAGCUCGCGGCCUAUCAGCUUGUUGGUGGGGUAAUGGCCUACCAAGGCGUCGACGGGUAGCCGGCCUGAGAGGGUGGACGGCCACAUUGGGACUGAGAUACGGCCCAGACUCCUACGGGAGGCAGCAGUGGGGAAUAUUGCACAAUGGGCGCAAGCCUGAUGCAGCGACGCCGCGUGGGGGAUGACGGCCUUCGGGUUGUAAACUCCUUUCAGCCAUGACGAAGCCCUUGUGGUGACGGUAGUGGUAGAAGAAGCACCGGCUAACUACGUGCCAGCAGCCGCGGUAAUACGUAGGGUGCGAGCGUUGUCCGGAAUUACUGGGCGUAAAGAGCUCGUAGGUGGUCUGUCGCGUCAUUUGUGAAAGCCCGGGGCUUAACUCCGGGUUGGCAGGUGAUACAGGCAUGACUGGAGUACUGUAGGGGAGACUGGAAUUCCUGGUGUAGCGGUGAAAUGCGCAGAUAUCAGGAGGAACACCGGUGGCGAAGGCGGGUCUCUGGGCAGUAACUGACGCUGAGGAGCGAAAGCAUGGGUAGCGAACAGG
rnacentral:rRNA from 1 species